GUUAAGUUGCAGGGUAUAGACCCGAAACCCGGUGAUCUAGCCAUGGGCAGGUUGAAGGUUGGGUAACACUAACUGGAGGACCGAACCGACUAAUGUUGAAAAAUUAGCGGAUGACCUGUGGCUGGGGGUGAAAGGCCAAUCAAACCGGGAGAUAGCUGGUUCUCCCCGAAAGCUAUUUAGGUAGCGCCUCGUGAACUCAUCUCCGGGGGUAGAGCACUGUUUCGGCUAGGGGGCCAUCCCGGCUUACCAACCCGAUGCAAACUGCGAAUACCGGAGAAUGUUAUCACGGGAGACACACGGCGGGUGCUAACGUCCGUCGUGAAGAGGGAAACAACCCAGACCGCCAGCUAAGGUCCCAAAGUCAUGGUUAAGUGGGAAACGAUGUGGGAAGGCCCAGACAGCCAGGAUGUUGGCUUAGAAGCAGCCAUCAUUUAAAGAAAGCGUAAUAGCUCACUGGUCGAGUCGGCCUGCGCGGAAGAUGUAACGGGGCUAAACCAUGCACCGAAGCUGCGGCAGCGACACUCAGGUGUUGUUGGGUAGGGGAGCGUUCUGUAAGCCUGCGAAGGUGGCCUGUGAGGGUUGCUGGAGGUAUCAGAAGUGCGAAUGCUGACAUAAGUAACGAUAAAGCGGGUGAAAAGCCCGCUCGCCGGAAGACCAAGGGUUCCUGUCCAACGUUAAUCGGGGCAGGGUGAGUCGACCCCUAAGGCGAGGCCGAAAGGCGUAGUCGAUGGGAAACGGGUUAAUAUUCCCGUACUUGGUGUUACUGCGAAGGGGGGACGGAGAAGGCUAUGUUGGCCGGGCGACGGUUGUCCCGGUUUAAGCGUGUAGGUGUGUGUUCCAGGUAAAUCCGGUUCACUUUAACACUGAGGCGUGAUGACGAGGCACUACGGUGCUGAAGCAACAAAUGCCCUGCUUCCAGGAAAAGCCUCUAAGCAUCAGGUAACAUCAAAUCGUACCCCAAACCGACACAGGUGGUCAGGUAGAGAAUACCAAGGCGCUUGAGAGAACUCGGGUGAAGGAACUAGGCAAAAUGGUGCCGUAACUUCGGGAGAAGGCACGCUGACACGUAGGUGAAGUGAUUUACUCAUGGAGCUGAAGUCAGUCGAAGAUACCAGCUGGCUGCAACUGUUUAUUAAAAACACAGCACUGUGCAAACACGAAAGUGGACGUAUACGGUGUGACGCCUGCCCGGUGCCGGAAGGUUAAUUGAUGGGGUCAGCGCAAGCGAAGCUCCUGAUCGAAGCCCCGGUAAACGGCGGCCGUAACUAUAACGGUCCUAAGGUAGCGAAAUUCCUUGUCGGGUAAGUUCCGACCUGCACGAAUGGCGUAAUGAUGGCCAGGCUGUCUCCACCCGAGACUCAGUGAAAUUGAACUCGCUGUGAAGAUGCAGUGUACCCGCGGCAAGACGGAAAGACCCCGUGAACCUUUACUAUAGCUUGACACUGAACAUUGAGCCUUGAUGUGUAGGAUAGGUGGGAGGCUUUGAAGUGUGGACGCCAGUCUGCAUGGAGCCGGCCUUGAAAUACCACCCUUUAAUGUUUGAUGUUCUAACGUGGACCCGUGAUCCGGGUUGCGGACAGUGUCUGGUGGGUAGUUUGACUGGGGCGGUCUCCUCCUAAAGAGUAACGGAGGAGCACGAAGGUUGGCUAAUCCUGGUCGGACAUCAGGAGGUUAGUGCAAUGGCAUAAGCCAGCUUGACUGCGAGCGUGACGGCGCGAGCAGGUGCGAAAGCAGGUCAUAGUGAUCCGGUGGUUCUGAAUGGAAGGGCCAUCGCUCAACGGAUAAAAGGUACUCCGGGGAUAACAGGCUGAUACCGCCCAAGAGUUCAUAUCGACGGCGGUGUUUGGCACCUCGAUGUCGGCUCAUCACAUCCUGGGGCUGAAGUAGGUCCCAAGGGUAUGGCUGUUCGCCAUUUAAAGUGGUACGCGAGCUGGGUUUAGAACGUCGUGAGACAGUUCGGUCCCUAUCUGCCGUGGGCGCUGGAGAACUGAGGGGGGCUGCUCCUAGUACGAGAGGACCGGAGUGGACGCAUCACUGGUGUUCGGGUUGUCAUGCCAAUGGCACUGCCCGGUAGCUAAAUGCGGAAGAGAUAAGUGCUGAAAGCAUCUAAGCACGAAACUUGCCCCGAGAUGAGUUCUCCCUGAGACUUUAGGUCUCCUGAAGGAACGUUGAAGACGACGACGUUGAUAGGCCGGGUGUGUAAGCGCAGCGAUGCGUUGAGCUAACCGGUACUAAUGAACCGUGAGGCUUAACCUU
rnacentral:rRNA from 1 species